AACGAACGCUGGCGGCAUGCCUAACACAUGCAAGUCGAACGAGACCUUCGGGUCUAGUGGCGCCCGGUUGCGUAACGCGUGGGAACCUGCCCUUAGGUUCGGAAUAACUCCCCGAAAGGGGUGCUAAUACCGGAUAAUUUCUUCGGACCAAUGAUUUAUCGCCUUUGGAUGGGCCCGCGUUGGAUUAGCUAGUUGUUAGGGUAAAAGCCUACCAAGGCGACGAUCCAUAGCUGGUCUGAGAGGAUGAUCAGCCACACUGGGACUGAGACACGGCCCAGACUCCUACGAGAGGCAGCAGUGGGGAAUAUUGGACAAUGGGCGAAAGCCUGAUCCAGCAAUGCCGGGUGAGUGAUGAAGGCCUUAGGGUUGGAAAGCUCUUUUACCCGGGAUGAUAAUGACAGUACCGGGAGAAUAAGCACCGGCUAACUCCGUG
rnacentral:rRNA from 1 species